rnacentral:lncRNA from 1 species
GCUGACUCUUCAGACAGACUUGGUUGAGGGAACAGGAAAGGAGGGCUUUGCAGACAGAGAACGAACAGCUCAUGGGAGGGUCUGGAAGAGGGCGUAUUCACACCAGCAGGUCAACUUAAACAAUCUUAAAAAAAAAAAAAAAAAAAAAAAACAGAAGAAAAGCCCAUCAAUUUGGGCCUCUUUCUGGUUGGCUUUGUUUUGGUUUUGUGUGAAGUGAGGUAGGAUCAUGUGUGCAUGCAUAGGUCAGAGUAAGGAGUCAGGGGUCUUCCUCUCUCCCUCUCUACCCUACAUAUUGACACAAGGUCUCUUACUGAACCUAAAGUUCACCAUUUUGGAGGGGUUGGUUGGCUAGUGUGUUCCCAGGAUCCGCCUGCCUCUGUCUCUAUACCUGUCUUUUUCCUGGGUGGGGAUUUGAACUCGGGCUCUCAUCAAGUGUUCUUCCCCAGUGUGCCAUCCACUUCUCCAGCUCUUGGUUUUAACUGACAGAUGAAACCACAUCAUCUUUCUGUUUGUUAUUCCUAUCUCUUCCUGCUUGGCUCGAUCUUCUUCCUGGUCCCAAUUUCCUUUGGUUCUGAGUACACUGUGUGUCUGAUGAGGUGUGACAGACCACCGUGGCCAGGAGUUCCCAUCCCAGCUGGUUACUGCAUGACUCUACAUUUCUAGGCAACCUCUUGAAGCCUUUCUUAUUUUUCUCCUGGGAGAAACUAGAUGUGUUUCAUUUGAUGGCUUCUGGGUCACUCAGCAAGAUGUGUGGACAUGGUCUGCGCCACCCAGUUAGCUAGAGUCUGAAUCAGGGUUUGAAGGGUAACACCACGCUCUGACCACUGUGCUUCACUGCUCUGCAGACUUCUGGGAGGGAGAACAGAGACGAAUUGAUGGGGGUGUGCUUCAGGAUCUGGGCAGUGAGGUCAUUCUAUCCCCGACCCCCACUCGCCAUGGUCUCCACACACCAUGUACAACAUGUGAGGAUGAAUGCGCUCCCCAGAACCCAUCAAGGCCCAACAAGGGGCGCAUCUGAACUGCUCACAAAGGCUGUAAAUUUUUAUGUUCAUUGUGUUUGUUUGGUUUGGUGUAAUUAAUGGAUCUAUUAAGCUCAAUCAAGCGCUGACCUCUUUUCUAACCACUAUAAAUCAGCCUCAAUGGCCAUAGGAGUGGGGCACCCCCCAACCUUCCUGGGAGAUGCUGAUCGGCCAUGGGGUGAAGGUAGUGAUGGUGUGGGGAGGGAUACUCCAGGGAGACCUCCAGCCUGGGCACAUGAGGACUGAUUAGAGAUGAGAUUGGAAGGAGAGAACAAGAACAGAAGGGUAAAGACCCAUGGGGAAACCAAGGCAGGCAGUCUUACCAUAUGACUCGCACUUUAAGGAUACUUAAUUAUUUGUGUUUAUGUUAAUCCUGGUUUAUAGAAAGGGUGUGGAGGUGGAGAAAACUUCAGACUCUUCGGGUCUUAGCCACUUUUCCGUACAAAGAGCCCUGAGAAAAGAAUUCGUUUACUCAGCCCAGGAAAGGUAACAAGGCAUGGAGAAAGAAGAGGAAGGAGAGGAUCAAGGUGCCAGAGGAGGGGCAAAGGCAGAGCCUUAGAGGCCUCAUCCCUCCUUGCUCUGUUCUUCUGGUUUGCUGUGCAGAAUGAUGGGGGAGUGAUGGAGCCUUUGCCACUCUGGGCUAGCAGGAUAAAUGAAUCCCUUGGAUAGCAGCAAAGAUGCUGCCGGCGUGCAUGCACUUUGAUGAUAAUAAUAAUAAUAAUAAAUAAGAACCUAACCAAGUGUCAUUUCCCGUCAUUAACAUGCAGAAGCAGAAAAAGAACAGCAUCUAUGUAAUUGCCCCAAAUUCUUAUUUCCAUAAGAAACCAUCACUUCUUGUAUUUUCUACUCCAGCCUUUCUCUCCAGGGGAACUGGGUUUCUAUGAAUAUAGAAAUUUGGUAAUUGCCCCUGCUUCAUUGUACUCAUGAAUAGCAAGCUUUGUCUUUGCUUACAACCCCAAGUGAUGGAGGACCCUUGCCCAUCCCUGUGUCAACGGGAUACAGUGGUCCCCCAAACCCUGUGCUUGUCCUCAUCCAACAAGACCUGGGGCCUUAGUCUCAUUUAGAGCCUCCAGGUUCUGGUUUCCAGAGGAACAAUUUCUCCUUCAGGGAGGAAAAGAAGGGAGUGGGGAGAACCUGCCAGUCAGAAGCUAAGUCUGCAUUUUUCCCCACUCGCUUUUUAGCCUUUCUUACCAGAGGCAUGCAUUUUUAUUUCAGUGCAAUGUGGUGGGGUUUUUUUUUUAAUAAAAUAAAAUAAAUGCUCCAUUAGAUUAAAAAAUGUACAGCAUUAUAUAGCUCAUAAUGCCAUGGUAGAUUUUAAACCUCUAAAAGCAUAUGCAUUAAAGCAAUUUUCUAAACUAAUAUAGCAAGAGGCCCACAAACGCGUUGAGACAUUCGAGGCUGGUCCUGUCUUCAGCUGAGGAUAAUGACGUUAACACAUGUAAUGGGAGUAACGAGUGGAGAUUCAGAAAGCUGCUUUUGUUUAAUUUUUUGUGAUGCAAAUUCAGUUUGGGAAUAAAAAGCAGGGUGAAAUGGGGGGAAAAACCCACUGAUUGGAAAUGAAUCUUAAUCCUAGCUGGUGAUAGGCUAGUUGUGAACAGAAGUGCCUUAAUUGUGGAAUUAAACAAUCCAGAGACAUGAUUAUUAAGGUGAUGGG